CCUACGGGAGGCUGCAGUGGGGAAUAUUGGACAAUGGGGGGAACCCUGAUCCAGCCAUGCCGCGUGUGUGAAGAAGGCCCUCGGGUUGUAAAGCACUUUCAGUGAGGAAGAACGCCUGGUGGUUAAUACCCAUCAGGAAAGACAUCACUCACAGAAGAAGCACCGGCUAACUCCGUGCCAGCAGCCGCGGUAAUACGGAGGGUGCGAGCGUUAAUCGGAAUUACUGGGCGUAAAGCGCGCGUAGGUGGCUUGAUAAGCCGGUUGUGAAAGCCCCGGGCUCAACCUGGGAACGGCAUCCGGAACUGUCAAGCUAGAGUGCAGGAGAGGAAGGUAGAAUUCCCGGUGUAGCGGUGAAAUGCGUAGAGCUCGGGAGGAAUACCAGUGGCGAAGGCGGCCUUCUGGACUGACACUGACACUGAGGUGCGAAAGCGUGGGUAGCAAACAGGAUUAGAUACCCGUGUAGUC
rnacentral:rRNA from 1 species